rnacentral:rRNA from 1 species
UACGAAGGGGGCUAGCGUUGCUCGGAAUCACUGGGCGUAAAGCGCACGUAGGCGGAUCGUUAAGUCAGGGGUGAAAUCCUGGAGCUCAACUCCAGAACUGCCUUUGAUACUGGCGACCUUGAGUUCGGGAGAGGUGAGUGGAACUGCGAGUGUAGAGGUGAAAUUCGUAGAUAUUCGCAAGAACACCAGUGGCGAAGGCGGCUACCUGGACCGGUUCUGACGCUGAGGCGCGAAAGCGUGGGUAGCAAACAGG